rnacentral:rRNA from 1 species
UACGUAGGGACCGAGCGUUGUCCGGAAUCAUUGGGCGUAAAGAGCGUGUAGGCGGCCACUUAAGUCCUGCGUGAAAUCUUGCGGCUCAACCGCAAGCGGUCGUGGGAAACUAAAUGGCUAGAGUGCGGGAGAGGAGAGUGGAAUUCCUGGUGUAGCGAUGGAAUGCGCAGAUAUCAGGAAGAACACCCGUGGCGAAGGCGGCUCUCUGGAACGCAACUGACGCUGAGACGCGAAAGCGUAGGGAGCAAACAGG